GACAGAGGGGGCAAGCGUUGCUCGGAAUCACUGGGCGUAAAGGGCGCGUAGGCGGGAUGGCAAGUCAGUCGUGAAAUCUCUCGGCUCAACCGAGAAACGUCGGCUGAUACUGCCGUUCUUGAGGGAUGCAGAGGAGACUGGAAUUCCCGGUGUAGCGGUGAAAUGCGCAGAUAUCAGGAGGAACACCGGUGGCGAAGGCGGUUCUCUGGGCAUUACCUGACGCUGAGGAGCGAAAGUGUGGGGAGCGAACAGG
rnacentral:rRNA from 1 species